AUUGAACGCUGGCGGCAGGCCUAACACAUGCAAGUCGAGCGGGGUUUUCGGACCUAGCGGCGGACGGGUGAGUAAUGCGUAGGAAGCUGCCCGAUAGAGGGGGAUACCAGUUGGAAACGACUGUUAAUACCGCAUAAUGUCUACGGACCAAAGUGUGGGACCUUCGGGCCACAUGCUAUCGGAUGCGCCUACGUGGGAUUAGCUAGUUGGUGGGGUAAUGGCUCACCAAGGCGACGAUCCCUAGCUGGUUUGAGAGGAUGAUCAGCCACACUGGAACUGAGACACGGUCCAGACUCCCACGGGAGGCAGCAGUGGGGAAUAUUGGACAAUGGGCGCAAGCCUGAUCCAGCCAUGCCGCGUGUGUGAAGAAGGCCUUCGGGUUGUAAAGCACUUUCAGUAGGGAGGAAGGGUGUUGUGUUAAUAGCACAGCAUUUUGACGUUACCUACAGAAGAAGCACCGGCUAACUCUGUGCCAGCCGCCGCCGUAAAAC
rnacentral:rRNA from 1 species